UUAUUCUCCUGCAAACACGAUUCCACCUUCUCUCUCCUCCCAACGACUCUCUGCCCCUUCUCUCUCCUAAACUCUCUGGGUUUUUUUUCUCCCUCCUAAAACCCUAAUUUCACGGCUGGGACUCUGGGAGGCACAACCAUGGAUAGGUGGGCCACGAUUUCUCUCGGUGAUCCGUUGAUGAGCCAAGAUGGAGGUACGACGGUGGCGCUACAUAGAUCUCGCCGCCGAUUUCUCUACCUUCUCAAACUCUUCGGCGAUUUCUCUCCCUUCUCAGUUUGAGCUUGCUGUGGUGGAAGGACGGCGGCCGUAGCAACAUCUGGAACAGAUCUAGGCAUAGUCCUUAAUGCGUGGUACUCAACAGGAUUUUACAAGCAGCAGCAAAGUGAUGAAACUCCAAUGGUCUGGGAAAUGCUCCUCUAUAUCUACAUCUUGUGUUCACCUGAUUGGCACUACCGAAGCACAAUGCCCACGUUCCUCUUCCUCAAUGGUGUUAUCUUUGUCGUUGUCCAUUACCUAUUCCAUUUCAAGAUAAGUUAUAAAGCUCAUUAUGUGGUGCUUUGUCUCCUUUGCAUCCCUCCGAUGUACAAAUACUACAUCCACACAGAGGAUCCUACAGCUAAGCAUCUUGCAAAGCUUUAUUGAGUCACUUUAUUCCUUGUGAGCCAAAGUUGAAUGGGUUUGACCUAAGUAGAUUUCAUGUAAUUUUUGCUUUAUGGUUUAAUAGCUUGGUUUGCUUUUGUAAGCUAGUAACUAGAAAGUCCCUAGUAUAGUAAUACGUGUACCCAUAAAUUGUAACUACAUAUGAUAAAAAAAUUUAAAAAAAGUACAACUUUUAUACUUUGUAUUAUAUGACUAAUUAUUUUCAUUGCUUAA